ensembl:lncRNA
AUGGAUGCUCAAGGUGUGUGUGUCACCAAAUGGCCUCCUUGGAGCACCCCUGACAGACAAGGGACGAGGGAGGAGUCUGGGAGAGAUUGCCGAGAUCCAUUACCAGACAGUACCUGUUGGCCACAGAUAGUCUUCUCAGAAAACAACCCGCCACUGCAGCUCUGCAGGGAGAAGCACAGCAGGAGCCACUUAGAGACCCAGGCAGGAGAAGGAGAAAUGGAGCUGGCCCUGGAUGUCUGGGGAGGGACAUCCCAAUUCACCUGGGACAGGACAGGGCUUGCCUGGCCAUCUGGUCUACCUGCCAUCUGGGACUCCCAGAGGAGCCUCAACCGUAGCAGUCAGGCCAACAGACCUGUCGGAAUUAGAGGGGUCCUGACCUGUCUUUGUGGGCAGUUUUGGGCAGGAUCCUCAUCUGCCAGGCCACCCACUGGAGGUGCUGACCACACGUGCUCAGAGGAUUCUAGGGCUCCACUGUGCUUGUUGCCCAGGUGGCUCGGAUGAGGACACCAGCUACUCCACGUAGGAACUGGGCCAGGUCUCCAACUGGGUCAGUCGCCGUUCAUUUGUCGACUCUGUUCUGCGUGACCAGUGCUCGCAGAUGGCUUUUCACCCAGUGGCUCCGUGGCUCCKGUCAGCUCUCCCUACCUGCAGGUGCUGCAUCCACAGGUUCCCCAGCUGUGGACUGAACCCAGUGGAAAGAGGAAAUGUCUGUCCGGAACGUGUACAGAGUCAUUCCUCAUCAGAAGGCACCCUGACAACCGCUUCCACCCCAUCUAACCCCGUUGGGCAUUAUGAGUAACUUAGAGAUGAUGUGAAGGAUCCAGGAAGAUGUAUGGAGGGUCGGAGCAAAUACCACGUCGUUUCACAUAGAGACUGUGUCUAUGGGCACCUCACGGAUCCGGUUACCCCUGAACACCGAGGAAUGACUGCACUUGAAAUGUGGACGGUGGUCCCCUGGGUGCCCAGCUGGAGGUCCGGUCACUGGCCUUACUCUGGCCCCCCACACCAAGGAAACGCGACACGCUCCCCACUCCCAUGGGCCUCCGUUACGGUCAACGACAACUGCUCUCCAGCGGCUGCAGAGAGCAAGAGGUACCUACUUUGGACCAAGAAUUAGAGCGGCCAGCAGUGGAGAUGCUGAUGGGUUUCUUCCCAGUUCUCUCUCGGCUCUGGGCAGUCUCUCAUGCGUGGUGGAGWCCUGGCACCACACUGGAGCUUGAAGCCCUGCCUCGGCCCUUCUGGGCAUGGUUCCACGUCUGCCAUUGGCUUCGACAAGGGUUGACACCCCCGAGCCUUUCCCUCUCCCACAGGUUCUCCCUGGACACAGGCCAGCCCUGCCCUCGCAGAGCCGAGCUUCUGCCAGCCUGGGGGGCUCCUGACCCCACCGGGGACGCCUGCUGCCCUCGCUUGCCCGAGGGCCUGUGGAUCCAUGAGGUCCUCCUUCCCGUGGUGUGCAUCCGUCAGGCUGUGAGCUGAAAGCUGCACCUGGGGCGGGUUGUGGCUCAGAGGCACGGCGCUCGCCCCGCCUGCGGCCACCUCUGGGUCACGCUGAAGGCUCUCCGUCAACAGGCUGCUGCAGCGUGGACAGGGAAGGCCACCCAGAGGCCUGUGUUAAAGACUCGGCUCUCAGUGUGGCGCUAUUGGGAGUCUAGAGGCAGGUCUUUAGUAGAGGUCGGGCCCUCCACGAGGAGAGUGGGAACCUAGCACUGUCCCCUCCCCCUUGUCACUUCCGGGUCAUGAGGUGAGCCAUUUGGCUCUGCCUUAGGCUUCCCCCACCAUGUGCCACCUGGCCACAGGCCCAAAGCCAUGGGGCCACCAGCCCCAGCUGGAAACCUCUAAAACAGUGAGCGGCCAACCUUUUCUCUUUAUCAGGUGAUGGUCUCGGGGUUUGUUACAGUAACAGGAAGCUGACUGCCACCCGGACUCUGGGCUCCAUCCACGUCUAGAUCUGGCAAGAAACAUGUGGUUCCAGGACUGUGUGUCUGGGACCUGGGCCUCUGGGUGCUGUCCCCAGGGGAGCCAUGUGUCUGUGUGGCUUCCUUGGUGCCCUGAGAUGGUCUCUAUGUACCUGGGUUCCCUCCUUUUAAAGACAGGACUCCGAGCCAUUUUCAGGCCGAAUACACCAUGGUUCCAUUCUCAAAGUGCCGUCGGUCGGUGUGUUAUCUGAACAUUUUGCUUGUGACUCUCUCUCCAAGAGCACCCAGGGGGUUGUUGGUGGCAGAGUGGGGGACAGAAAGCUUUCCGCGUGUUCUGACCCAGAGCCCCGAGCCUGCCCCCUUCUCUCUCAGAUUUGGGCAAGAUCCUUAGGAUGCGGCCCCUUUGCAGGCCCCACGACCUGCCCGUGACGCUGGCCUCAUGCGCACCCAGACCCUGGGCUGCCACUGCCUCCUGCCUCUCUUCCGUCCCCUCCAUAGUUGGUCUGAGCUAGACCAAGACUGUUCUUCUGGGAAGCCAGAAGCCUCCUCUGGGGGGGGUGGGGGGGUGAGGGGCAUGAAUCAGCUUCCGGGCAAGUUUCUAAAUCGAUGCUUAUUUUAAGCCCGUUUCCUGUCAKGACCCCAGAGAGGCCGCAGCCUGGUGAUCCAUACUCCCCACCCCUCCCUAUUGCACUCCGGGGAUUCAUGCGUUUAUGCCUAAGCACUGAAAGCAUGGGAAGGAUUGCCUUCUAAAUCUAAGCCGGAUGGACAUCCCGCGUCCAAGUUCAUCCAGACCCAUGGCCCACAGAUAGGCAGGUAGGAUGGAGGCUUCUGGGAGUGGACAACAGGUUUUGUCCACAUAGGUAUGGGCCCCGGGUCCUUUGCACCUCUUCAUUCCACGGCUGUGCGUCACUGACUGGACUCUGUGUCCCAGAAUCCAGCCUCSGGGCCGCCUGACUUUCAGACGGCAUCUGUCUCGGAAGCUCACCUCGGGCUACGGGUGAACACCCAGCCUCUCCGCGUGCCCCUCCUUCUCCCUGCGUCUCCUGGUUGCUGGUCAGCUCUUGGGGGGCCUGGCACUGGAAGGAGGCUCGGGUCUCACUUUCUUGGUGGAGUCCGCUUCCCUGAGACCCGCCACCACCUCCUGCAAGACCUGGUCCCCCCUGCAGCCUUGUGCCCAGCCACCUUUCCUGGGGACUCACCUCUGUCCACAGUUCCUGGUUCAUGGAGACUUCCUCUUGCUAGAACGUGGGCCGCCCGAGGGCGGACUUGUUUGUUCACAGAGAAUCCCUGAGCUUAGCUCACGGACACACCUGUUAGGAGCCUCUGUCGGGCCGAACCCACUGCAAGUCACAGCUCACCUUGCCCAACAGCCCGUCUUUAAAAGUCAGGAGCCCCAGAGCCCCAGAGCUCACCCGCUGGCCUGGGAUCAGGUUGGUGGCCCUGGCAGGGGGGACUCUGGGGGUCUGGGACCCUCCCAGGGACCCGGGAAUGGUUCCCCCAUCCCAGCAAAGACCUCCUCUCCUCUUCCUUGCCACGCCCCCGCAGACCUGGUGGAGACCGGGGGACAGUGUCCACUAAAUGAAGAGGUGGGCACGGGAGGGGGGUCUGACCAGCGCCAGCUUCCUGGGUGGGACUCCGGGUCUCCAGCCGGGUUCCUGUCACCAGCCAGCUGUCAGGUCUUGGGACAAACUAGGCUCAGUUUUCUCAUCUGCCCAACGGGGGCUUCCCUCCUGGGGCGACCCUGGGGUCUAGGGAAGAGAACGCAAAGAGCUUGGGACAGUGCUGACGUACGUUUUUGCACUCAAUGAUGACAGCUGUCGGAAGGACGCAAUAAAUGUUCCUGGUGGCAUCGAGGACA